GCCUACAGCCAUACCACCCUUGGAAGCUAAGCAGGGUCAGGCCUGGUUAGUACUUGGAUGGAGAACUCUGGGGACAGGCU
rnacentral:rRNA from 14 species